rnacentral:rRNA from 1 species
AUUGAACGCUAGCGGGAUGCUUUACACAUGCAAGUCGAACGAGUGGCGGACGGGUGAGUAAUAUAUCGGAACGUGGCCAGUAGAGGGGGAAAACUACUCGAAAGAGUGGCUAAUACCGCAUACUAUUGUAGCAGCCGAUAUCGGAUUAGCUAGGUGGUGGGGUAAAGGCUUACCAAGGCCACGAUCCGUAGCUGGUUUGAGAGGACGACCAGCCACACGGGGACUGAGACACGGCCCAGACUCCUACGUGAGGCAGCAGUGGGGAAUGUUGGACAAUGGGGGAAACCCUGAUCCAGCCAUCCCGCGUGAAUGAGAAGGCCUUCGGGUUGUAAAGUACUUUUGGCAGAGAAGCGGUAUCUGCAGAAUAAGCACCGGCUAACUACGUGCCAGCCGCCGCGGUAAUUC